GACGAACGCUGGCGGCGUGCCUAAUACAUGCAAGUAGGACGCAGUUGCGAACGGGUGAGUAACGCGUAGGAACCUACCUAUUUGAGGGGGAUAACUAUUGGAAACGAUAGCUAAUUCCGCAUACUAGUAGCUGGACCUGCGAUGUAUUAGCUAGUAGGUAGGGUAAUGGCCUAACAAGGCGACGAUCCGUAACUGGGCGGAGAGGAUGAGCAGCAACACUGGAACUGAGACACGGGCCAGACUCCUACGGGAGGCAGCAGUGGGGAAUAUUGGACAAUGGGCGAAAGCCUGAUCCAGCCAUGCCGCGUGUGUGAAGAAGGUCUUCGGAUUGUAAAGCACUUUAAGUUGGGAGGCGUUACCAACAGAAUAAGCACCGGCUAACUUCGUGCCAGCAGCCGCGGUAAUUC
rnacentral:rRNA from 1 species